UCAACAACAAAGCACUCCCCAACACCAAAACAAUUAACACAAGAUGACAACAAGACUCUUUCACCCCUCUGAAGAGCUGAACAAAUCCAGAAGGUCUUUCCUGGGAGUGGUCGCCCAGGUCUGGACGCUGGGGAUGGCUGCUGCAGAUCACCAAAUGCAGGCUCCUGGUGUUCCUUGGUGUUUCCCAGAUCCCAGUCCAGAGCAGGUUGAAUGAUAUUCAGAAAGAGGAAAGGGAAAAAAAAAAAAACAACAGUCCAGGGAAAGAAUUGGACUGCUUAACCUAACUAGGAAGCAAAGCAAGAAAGCAAGAAAGCAGGCAAAGCAAGCAAGCCAAGCAAGCAAGCAAGCAAAGCAAGCAAGCCAAGCAAGCAAGCAAAGCAAAGCCAGCCAGCCAGCCCUAGCCUUUUCUAGCUUUCCAGCAGACAUGGGGGGAGGUGAACCAGAUGAUAACACAGCAAAACAAACCUUCACUUUCAGAGUCAGUUCUGAAAGCACAGAACAUAAUAUCAAACGUAAACAGAACACACGAUUGGAGAUAAAAACAACAUAACAGUCACCCUAGGACAUUCCACCCCUUAUCUCCAUAUCUUCAACAUCAUGUAAAAACUCCAUCAAGUUAAAACUUGUAUCUUUCACUUACUCAUUUCCUUCUUUCUCAUGUCUGUGUGUUUCAUGCACAGACAUUGGCAGUAACAUUCAGCAAACAGUGAUAUUUGCACAAUAGUUUCACCCCACAAUCAGAUCUCCCUGAGGUACACAUCGUGUUGUUCCAUCUCUCUGCAUUAUCCACCAUGUACAACCUGGUCCCUGAGCAAAGACAAUCCCACGAAUGGGUUUGUCUGUACUCGAGGCAGGAUUGAUCCACACUGAUUUCCCUAACAAACCUCUGACAUGUGCCACUGGGACUUUAUCUCUGUCUACUAUAUUCAGGGGCUCAGACUGGGCAGGACCUGCUCGAUUGGUGGAACCUCGGCUGUUAACUAACCAGGUGGCCUUUGCUAAAUGUUGCUCCCAAUUUUUGAAAGAUCCCCCACCCAAUGCUUUUAAGGUGGUUUUUAACAGUCCAUUGUACCUCUCCACUUUGCCUGCAGCUGGUGCAUGGUAGGGGAUGUGGUACACCCACUCAAUGCCAUGUUCCCUAGCCCAGGUGUUGAUAAGGCUGUUCUUGAAAUGAGUCCCAUUGUCUGACUCAAUCCUCUCAGGGGUACCAUGCCUCCAAAGGACCUGCUUUUCAAGGCCCAGGAUGGUGUUACGGGCUGUAGCAUGAGACACAGGGUAGGUUUCCAACCAUCCAGUGGUGGCUUCUACCAUUGUGAGCACGUAGCGCUUGCCUUGGCGUGUCUGGGGCAGUGUGAUGUAGUCAAUCUGCCAGGCCUCCCCAUACUUGUACUUGGACCACCGCCCAUCAUACCACAGGGGCUUCACCCGCUUGGCCUGUUUGAUGGUAGCGCAUGUCUCACAGUCAUGGAUAACCUGAGAAAUACUGUCCAUGGUUAGAUCCACCCCUCGGUCUCGUGCCCACUUAUAAGUGGCAUCUCUACCCUGAUGGCCUGAGGCAUCAUGGGCCCAUCGUGCUAGGAACAACUCCCCCUUGUGUUCCCAAUCGAGGUCUAUCUUUGACACCCCUAUCUUUGCAGCCUGAUCUACGUGCUGAUUGUUUUGCUGCUCUUCAUUAGCUCUACUUCUGGGGACAUGGGCAUCUACAUGGCGAACCUUCACAGGUAGCUUCUCUACCCGGGUAGCGAUAUCUUUCCACUCUUCAGCAGCCCAAAUUGGUUUUCCUCUACGCUGCCAGUUAGCUUCUUUCCACCUCUCUAGCCACCCCCACAGAGCAUUGGCUACCAUCCAUGAAUCAGUGUAGAGGUAGAGCUUUGGCCACUUCUCCCUUUCUGCAAUGUCUAGGGCCAGUUGAACGGCUUUGAGUUCAGCAAACUGGCUUGAUCCACCUUCUCCUUCAGUGGCCUCUGCAACCCGUCGUGUGGGACUCCAUACAGCUGCUUUCCACUUCCGAUUCAUCCCUACGAUGCGACAGGAACCGUCAGUGAAGAGAGCAUAGCGUGUUUCCUCUGCUGGCAGUUGGUUAUAUGGUGGAGCUUCUUCAGCCCGUGUCACUGGUUCUUCUUCUUCAUCUGCGACACGAAAAAUUUCACCCUCGGGCCAAUUUGUAAUUACUUCCAAAAUCCCAGGGCGAUUCAGCUUACCAAUAUGGGCACGCUGCGUGAUGAGAGCAAUCCACUUGCUCCAUGUAGCACUGGUGGCAUGGUGGGUGGAGGGAACCUUUCCUCUGAACAUCCACCCCAGCACCGGUAGUCGGGGUGCCAGGAGGAGUUGUGCUUCUGUGCCAAUCACCUCUGAGGCGGCCUGGACUCCCUCGUAGGCGGCCAAGAUUUCCUUCUCUGUUGGGGUGUAGUUGGCUUCAGACCCUCUGUAGCUCCGACUCCAAAAUCCCAGUGGUCGGCCCCGAGUCUCAUCAGGCACCUUCUGCCAAAGGCUCCAGGACAGACCAUGGUUCCCGGCUGCAGAGUAGAGCACGUUCUUCACAUCUGGUCCUGUCCUGACUGGGCCAAGAGCUACUGCAUGAGCAAUUUCCUGCUUUAUCUGGGUGAAAGCUUGCUGCUGCUUAGGGCCCCAACAGAAAUCAUUCUUCUUGCGGGUGACCAGGUAGAGGGGACUCACGAUCUGACUGUACUCAGGAAUGUGCAUUCUCCAAAAACCAAUGGCGCCUAAGAAAGCUUGUGUCUCUUUCUUGUUGGUUGGUGGGGACAUGGCUGUGAUCUUGUUGAUGACAUCUGUAGGAAUCUGACGCCGUCCAUCUUGCCACUUCACUCCCAAGAACUGGAUCUCUCGAGCAGGUCCCUUCACUUUACUCUUCUUGAUGGCAAAACCAGCUUCCAGGAGGAUUCGGAUGAUUUUCUCUCCUUUCUCAAACACUUCUGCUGCUGUGUUCCCCCACACAAUGAUAUCAUCAAUAUAUUGUAGAUGUUCUGGAGCCUCACCCUUUUCUAGUGCAGUCUGGAUCAGUCCAUGGCAGAUGGUAGGACUGUGCUUCCACCCCUGGGGCAGUCGGUUCCAGGUAUAUUGCACUCCCCUCCAUGUAAAGGCAAACUGAGGCCUGCAUUCUGCUGCCAGAGGAAUGGAGAAAAAUGCAUUGGCAAUAUCAAUAGUGGCGUACCACUUCGCUGCCUUGGACUCCAGCUCGUACUGGAGUUCCAGCAUGUCUGGCACAGCAGCGCUCAGUGGUGGAGUCACUUCAUUCAAUGCACGGUAGUCCACAGUCAAUCUCCAUUCUCCUUCAGAUUUACGCACAGGCCAAAUGGGGCUGUUGAAGGGUGAGUGGGUUUUGCUGACCACCCCUUGGCUCUCCAGCUCUCGGAUCAUCUUAUGGAUGGGAACCACAGCAUCUCGAGUUGUUCUGUACUGUCGACGAUGCACUGUUGAAGUGGCAACUGGUACCUUUUGUUCUUCUCCCUUCAAAAGUCCUACUGUAGUUGGAUUCUCAGACAGUCCAGGCAAGGUGUUCAGUUGCUGGAUGCCCUCUGUCGCUACAGCUGCUAUCCCAAAUGCCCACCUGAGUCCCUUUGGGUCUUUAAAAUAUCCCCUUCGAAGGUAAUCUAUGCCCAAAAUACAUGGGGCCUCUGGGCCAGUCACAAUAGGGUGUUUCUUCCACUCAUUUCCUGUCAGACUUACAUCAGCUUCCACCACAGUAAAGUCCUGAGAUCCACCUGUCACACCGGCAAUAGAGACAGAUUCUGCCCCUACGUGUCUUGAUGGAAUUAACGUGCAUUGUGCACCAGUAUCAACCAAAGCCUUAUAUCUUUGUGGGUCCGAUGUGCCAGGCCAGCGAAUCCACACAGUCCAGAAAACACGGUUUUCCCUCGCCUCUACCUGGCUAGAGGCAGGGCCCCCUCUAAGCCUGGUUAUCCUUCUUGCCUUGGGCGUAUGUCUUAGA
ensembl:lncRNA